CCAGGACCUUCAACCAGAAAGAGAGAGAGAGUGAGCAUAUGCGCAUGUGUAUGUCUGCGCCCGUGCAGGGAGGAGGGGUGUGAACAGACACUGCUGGACGGAUGGCUGGAGUUUAGUCCCUUCCUUCGGGACUCUCCACCACUCCUUCGGCUUCCCUUCUCCUGCCCAGCCCUGUCCUGGGUGCACAGAGAAGGAAGUCACUCCAUUCCUGCCCUUGAGGAGCUCCCAGACCCGGGGCAGGAGCGGGAUGCAGACAACUAGACAGCACCCUGGGCGGUGCAAGGAAUGUACUACAGAGCCAAUUUUACUGGCAAAGGAGGAAUGGAGGAUCUGAAAGGCUAAGGGAUCCCACAGGCAGUGAGGAGCAGGUCUGGAAUUUGAACCAAUCGGCAUGAUUCCCAAGCUCAAGCUUUUGGCCACCGUCCGCACUGCCAGGGACAGAAAAAAAAACCUGGGAGGAGAGCCAAGCCAAGCUGGGGAGUCAGGACCUCCCAGCCAGGUCUGGAUGGGAGGUAGGUGCCUCCACCCUGGUCCCAGAGCAAGUUCUGCUGGCUUCAGCCACCUGACUUGCCUGUGAAGUUGGGCAAAGAGGCCAGAGCAGACUGUGUGUGAUUCUGGCCCCACCCCCAGCACCUCUACCCCCACCUUUACUACCCCUAGGCUGCGGGAAGAGGCUUUGCCCAGCAAUAGCCCUGAUCUGAUGGCUGCUUGAAGCACAGAUAGUAUUUCUGCACAUGUCACUCUGAGUAUGAGGGCAGUAAUCUUGAAACUCCCCGUGACCACCUGGCACUCUGGAGAUGGAACUCCACAGCCUGUUUUCAAAGCCAAUUCCUGGUUGGAAGCUCCUCUUCAAGUCUAACAGAAGUGGGAGAGGGGAAAACAAGGUGCGAGCCCUGUUCCAGGAAGAGCAAAAAUGUCUUCAACAGUAAGACAUCCUGGUCUGAGAGCCAGGGCUUGGGGCAGCCUGUGGUCCUGGCAGAGAGCUGGUGGAAGGGACCACGGAGAGAUGAUGCCACACACAGAAGUGAGACCAAUGAGAUCGUGGGAAUUGCCCGGCCAAGGGCUGACAUCAAGGAAGCUUGGGAGUCAGGGGACAGCUGGGAAGGGAACAACCAACAGAACCAGCUGGAAACUGAAAAGGGAUGAAAGGGAGAAAGAGGAGGUGGGCACUGAGCUCAGGUGAAGGAGGAGGAAGGGAGACAGGACAGAGAGAGGCAGAAGAUAAGACAAAAACAGAGGCGGAGAGACCGAGAAACAGGGAGACAGAGAUGGAUGGAGGCUGGGAAAGACAAAGAGGAGACAGGCCUGGGCAGGAGAGGUCGUAUGUGUGGAGAAAAGGUUGGGAAGAGAGCAGGAAAGAGAGAAGGAGCACAGGGGUUUGGGGGUUCCCACCGGACCCAGCCCACCCCUCCUGCAGGCUGGGUUUCUCCCUUGUCAGCCACUUACGGAGCUCAGGAUCCUCUCCCUCAGUGCUAGGGGCUGAGAGCUCGCCUCCAGCCCCGCCCUAGUCCGGAGGCUCCCCCUCCCCAGGCCCUCGGAGGCCGCCCCUGAGACUGGCUGUGCAGCGAUAGAUGGUGGGGGCCCAGCUGGUGCGUUAUCAGCCUUCUCCAGGAGCGCGCCUGAGCCACUCCGUGGCUGCCAGUCUGAGAUUAGGCCCCCGGAGGGUCAUUAAGCACCACCCUGGCCUGGGCCCAGCCUCCUUUCCCUCCUCGAUCUGGCCAGGCUGGCAGGUGGGAAUGAGCGAUAAGGAUUGGGGGUCUCAGCGGUUCUGGGGCCAGCAGCUUCCUGCUCCCAGCCCCCGAUCGGGGCAGGAACAUGGGGUGAGGGUGAGGGGCUGUAAGGUCAGUGCCGGCCCAGUCCCUGCAGGAGCCCCCUGGGUUCCCACUCUCUUAGAUCUGCCCAUAUUGAGCAAGACAGAAUGAGAAGGGGGACAAGGAGGCUCUUAGAGAGGCCCCAGACAGCUGCUGGGGAGCAAGGGACAACUGACGGCAGAGCUGGGAGGAAAUGUGGCCUCAUGAAAGGAGAAUCAGAUCCGGCAGUCAGAAGCUUCCCACCAGGAGGCAGGAAAGGAAGAGGGGGCUGUUUGUGCCCUAGCAGAGGCCUGACCCUCUAGGAACCUCUGUCUCUCCUUCAGUGAGUGGAGAAGCGGGACUGGCUGCUGGCCUGGCUUUGCCCUCUGGUCUAAUCAAGGAAGACUUCCCAGAAGAGGAGGAACCUUGGCUGGGUCAAGAAAAAACAAUGGACAGAGUUUAAACGGGCAGAGGUGGGGUGAAAAGGCGUGAGUCACAGAAAGCCACGUAAGCAAAAGCCUAGAGUAGAAAUCACAAGCUGCAGUUCAUUAAGUUGAAGCCCUGAGAGGGGAGGUGACUUGUCUCAAGACACACAGAAAGGCAGGGAUAGGCCUGCAGCAAAGCUGCUGCUCCCCCACCCCCAGGCCUCUUCCCUCUGCUGCUGUCUGCAUCCUAAACCCAAUGAGGUGAGAAGAGAUUAUUUCCAUUUAA